GAAUAUUGGACAAUGGGCGCAAGCCUGAUCCAGCAAUACCGCGUGUGUGAAGAAGGCCUGAGGGUUGUAAAGCACUUUCAAUUGGGAGGAAAACCUGCCGGUCAAUACCCGGCGGCUUGACAUUACCUUUAGAAGAAGCACCGGCUAACUCCGUGCCAGCAGCCGCGGUAAUACGGAGGGUGCGAGCGUUAAUCGGAAUUACUGGGCGUAAAGCGUGCGUAGGCGGUUAUUUAAGUCAGAUGUGAAAGCCCCAGGCUUGACCUGGGAACUGCAUUUGAUACUGGGUAACUAGAGUUUAGUAGAGGAGAGUGGAAUUUCAGGUGUAGCGGUGAAAUGCGUAGAGAUCUGAAGGAACACCCAGU
rnacentral:rRNA from 1 species